rnacentral:rRNA from 1 species
UACGUAGGCAGCGAGCGUUGUUCGGAGUUACUGGGCGUAAAGAGUGCGUAGGCGGUUUUCUAAGUUUGGUGUGAAAUCUCCCGGCUUAACUGGGAGGGUGCGCCGAAGACUGGAAGGCUAGAGUAUGGGAGAGGUAAGGCGGAAUUCCUGGUGUAGCGGUGAAAUGACGUAGAUAUCAGGAGGAACACCUGCGGUGUAGACGGCUUACUGGACCAUAACUGACGCUGAGGCACGAAAGCGUGGGUAGCAAACAGG